rnacentral:rRNA from 1 species
ACCCGCUGAACUUAAGCAUAUCAAUAAGCGGAGGAAAAGAAACCAACAGGGAUUGCCCUAGUAACGGCGAGUGAAGCGGCAACAGCUCAAAUUUGAAAUCUGGCUCUUUCAGAGUCCGAGUUGUAAUUUGCAGAGGGCGCUUUGGCGUUGGCAGCGGUCCAAGUUCCUUGGAACAGGACGUCACAGAGGGUGAGAAUCCCGUACGUGGUCGCUAGCCUUUACCGUGUAAAGCCCCUUCGACGAGUCGAGUUGUUUGGGAAUGCAGCUCUAAAUGGGAGGUAAAUUUCUUCUAAAGCUAAAUACUGGCCAGAGACCGAUAGCGCACAAGUAGAGUGAUCGAAAGAUGAAAAGCACUUUGGAAAGAGAGUUAAAAAGCACGUGAAAUUGUUGAAAGGGAAGCGCUUGCAGCCAGACUUGCCUGUAGUUGCUCAUCCGGGUUUUUACCCGGUGCACUCUUCUAUAGGCAGGCCAGCAUCAGUUUGGGCGGUUGGAUAAAGGUCUCUGUCAUGUACCUCUCUUCGGGGAGAACUUAUAGGGGAGACGACAUGCAACCAGCCCGGACUGAGGUCCGCGCAUCUGCUAGGAUGCUGGCGUAAUGGCC